rnacentral:rRNA from 1 species
AUUGAACGCUGGCGGCAGGCUUAACACAUGCAAGUCGAGCGGGGGAAGGUAGCUUGCUACCGGACCUAGCGGCGGACGGGUGAGUAAUGCUUAGGAAUCUGCCUAUUAGUGGGGGACAACAUCUCGAAAGGGAUGCUAAUACCGCAUACGUCCUACGGGAGAAAGCAGGGGAUCUUCGGACCUUGCGCUAAUAGAUGAGCCUAAGUCAGAUUAGCUAGUUGGUGGGGUAAAGGCCUACCAAGGCGACGAUCUGUAGCGGGUCUGAGAGGAUGAGCCGCCACACUGGGACUGAGACACGGCCCAGACUCCUACGGGAGGCAGCAGUGGGGAAUAUUGGACAAUGGGGGGAACCCUGAUCCAGCCAUGCCGUGUGUGUGAAGAAGGCCUUAUGGUUGUAAAGCACUUUAAGCGAGGAGGAGGCUACUUUAGUUAAUACCUAGAGAUAGUGGACGUUACUCGCAGAAUAAGCACCGGCUAACUCUGUGCCAGCCGCCGCCGUAA